UGAGACACGGCCCAGACUCCUACGGGAGGCAGCAGUGGGGAAUAUUGCACAAUGGGCGAAAGCCUGAUGCAGCGACGCCGCGUGAGGGAUGACGGCCUUCGGGUUGUAAACCUCUUUCAGCAGGGAAGAAGCGAAAGUGACGGUACCUGCAGAAGAAGCGCCGGCUAACUACGUGCCAGCAGCCGCGGUAAUACGUAGGGCGCAAGCGUUGUCCGGAAUUAUUGGGCGUAAAGAGCUCGUAGGCGGCUUGUCGCGUCGGUUGUGAAAGCCCGGGGCUUAACCCCGGGUCUGCAGUCGAUACGGGCAGGCUAGAGUUCGGUAGGGGAGAUCGGAAUUCCUGGUGUAGCGGUGAAAUGCGCAGAUAUCAGGAGGAACACCGGUGGCGAAGGCGGAUCUCUGGGCCGAUACUGACGCUGAGGAGCGAAAGCGUGGGGAGCGAACAGGAUUAGAUACCCUGGUAGUCCACGCCGUAAACGGUGGGCACUAGGUGUGGGCAACAUUCCACGUUGUCCGUGCCGCAGCUAACGCAUUAAGUGCCCCGCCUGGGGAGUACGGCCGCAAGGCUAAAACUCAAAGGAAUUGACGGGGGCCCGCACAAGCGGCGGAGCAUGUGGCUUAAUUCGACGCAACGCGAAGAACCUUACCAAGGCUUGACAUACACCGGAAAGCAUCAGAGAUGGUGCCCCCCUUGUGGUCGGUGUACAGGUGGUGCAUGGC
rnacentral:rRNA from 1 species